rnacentral:rRNA from 1 species
AGCGAACGCUGGCGGCAGGCCUAACACAUGCAAGUCGAACGAAGUCUUCGGACUUAGUGGCGGACGGGUGAGUAACACGUGGGAACGUACCUUUUGGUUCGGAACAACUCAGGGAAACUUGAGCUAAUACCGGAUGAGCCCUUAGGGGGAAAGAUUUAUCGCCGAAAGAGCGGCCCGCGUUAGAUUAGCUAGUUGGUGGGGUAAAGGCUCACCAAGGCUACGAUCUAUAGCUGGUCUGAGAGGAUGAUCAGCCACACUGGGACUGAGACACGGCCCAGACUGCUACGGGAGGCAGCAGUGGGGAAUCUUGCGCAAUGGGCGAAAGCCUGACGCAGCCAUGCCGCGUGAAUGAUGAAGGUCUUAGGAUUGUAAAAUUCUUUUACCAGGGACGAUAAUGACGGUACCUGGAGAAAAAGCCCCGGCUAACUUCGUGCCAGCCGCCGCGGUAAUAC